GCGCCCCGCAAGGGGAGCGGCAGACGGGUGAGUAACGCGUGGGAAUCUACCGUGCCCUACGGAAUAGCUCCGGGAAACUGGAAUUAAUACCGUAUACGCCCUACGGGGGAAAGAUUUAUCGGGGUAUGAUGAGCCCGCGUUGGAUUAGCUAGUUGGUGGGGUAAAGGCCUACCAAGGCGACGAUCCAUAGCUGGUCUGAGAGGAUGAUCAGCCACAUUGGGACUGAGACACGGCCCAAACUCCUACGGGAGGCAGCAGUGGGGAAUAUUGGACAAUGGGCGCAAGCCUGAUCCAGCCAUGCCGCGUGAGUGAUGAAGGUCUUAGGAUUGUAAAGCUCUUUCACCGGUGAAGAUAAUGAC
rnacentral:rRNA from 1 species